rnacentral:lncRNA from 1 species
UUCUCUUAUCCCUCUGUAACAAAUAUUUGCCAACUGGGGAGGGGGGAGGGAAGCCCAGUUGACGAGAUAUAUAUAUACACACAUACAGAUCACAAUGCAAAAUACCGUGUUUCUCUGUGUACUUCACUACAAUAAAAGUUCUCAAAAUCCAAACCCACAUCAACAAAUAAAAAAUUGAAGAAUCUGUCAAUUUCAUCAUCAAAACCAACCACUUUCUCAAAAUAGCUACCAUUUUUAUAAAUUCACCAAAUUGUUCUUUGAUUUUGGUAAUAACUCUUCUUCGUUUUUGGUGAGGCAAAAGAUCUGAUUCUGGUAAUUUGCAGACUAUUAUGGGGAAAAAAGAAGGAGAGACUGGACGCAGAUCUAUGGAGUAGAAGAUCGGCAAACGCCAUUGUUUCUCCUUAUUCAUGCUACAGUCUUUUCAAUUCUUUCACUAAUCUUCCUGAGUUAGUGGGGGAACCACGAGCUUCAUCGCACUGCACACUAUCGAGGCGGUGCUUGCGUAAUCCGAAAUAGUCAUUGGAGGUGAUUGCUGCGGGAAUUUUUUUGGUGGUUGUUGUGUGGUAUAGUUGGUGAGUUGUUGAGUGUGGUGUUGGCGAAGUGGUGCCAGCGGUGUGGUGGCGACUGUGCUUCCUCGUGCUGACUGGAGAAAGGAGAGGUGGGAUAGAGAGAGAAGUUGUAUGGUAGAGAUGGUGAGAUUGUUGAGUGUGGUGUUGACGAGGUGGUGGCGACGGUGCUUCCCGACGUUGGCUAGAGAGAGGAGAGGAGAGGCGGGAUAGAGAGAGAAGAGAGAAAAUGGGAAUGGAUGAAACAUAAUAGGGUUUUAG